AUUGCUUCUCAGCCUUUUGGCUAAGAUCACCUGUA
rnacentral:snRNA from 1 species